rnacentral:lncRNA from 1 species
GCAUAUUUUGUUUACUUGAGAUUAACUCAAACACAAUGACACAAAAAAUGAGUUGUUUACCAGAAGAGGAAAUCCAAAUGGCUAAUAAACAUAUGGAAGGUUGUGCAAUCUCAUUGUUAAUCAAGGAAGUACAAAUUAUAAUGAUGAUGAAACCCUACCUCCCAAGUGAUUCCAUAAGUGUUGGUGAGAAUGUGGAGAAAAGGAAGUUCUAUACAUAACUAACGGAGAUAUAAAUUUUCAAAGCCAUACGUCAAUACAUAAUAAACUGAAAUUAUGCAUAUCUACAGCUCAGAACUUACAUUGGCAUAUUGGCAAAAACUCUCUCAUUUGGGCACCAGAAAGUAUGUUUGAAGAUACUGCUUCAUUUCUUGUAUUACUUGAAGCUACUUCUGUGCCCUCUCCAGCUCAGUUGGCAAGGUGUUUCACAAGAUCAGGGCUGGCCAUGAAACCAGCAGCUUUUCUGUGGAAGGGAGCUACACUUUUUUGGAGGUAUUUCCUGUAAAAGUAGAAAAUGCAGAGGGAAAUGAACAGAGAAAGCUCACAGCCCUGCCAGCCUUAGGUCACAG